rnacentral:rRNA from 1 species
AUUGAACGCUGGCGGCAUGCCUUACACAUGCAAGUCGAACGGUAACGCGGGGCAACCUGGCGACGAGUGGCGAACGGGUGAGUAAUGCAUCGGAACGUGCCCAGUAGUGGGGGAUAGCCCGGCGAAAGCCGGAUUAAUACCGCAUACGACCUACGGGUGAAAGCGGGGGACUCGCAAGGGCCUCGCGCUAUUGGAGCGGCCGAUGUCAGAUUAGCUAGUUGGUGGGGUAAAGGCCUACCAAGGCGACGAUCUGUAGAUGGUCUGAGAGGACGAGGAGCCGAACUGGGACUGAGACACGGCCCAGACGCCUACGGGGGGCAGCAGUGGGGAAUUUUGGACAAUGGGAGCAAGCCUGAUCCAGCCAUGCCGCGUGCGGGAAGAAGGCCUUCGGGUUGUAAACCGCUUUUGUCAGGGAAGAAACGCUCUGGGUUAAUACCUCGGGGUAAUGACGGUACCUGAAGAAUAAGCGCCGGCUAACUACGUGCCAGCCGCCGCCGUAACAC